rnacentral:rRNA from 1 species
UACGAAGGGGGCUAGCGUUGCUCGGAAUCACUGGGCGUAAAGCGCACGUAGGCGGAUUGUUAAGUCAGGGGGUGAAAUCCUGGAGCUCAACUCCAGAACUGCCUUUGAUACUGGCGAUCUCGAGUCCGGGAGAGGUGAGUGGAACUGCGAGUGUAGAGGUGAAAUUCGUAGAUAUUCGCAAGAACACCAGUGGCGAAGGCGGCUCACUGGCC